rnacentral:snRNA from 1 species
GCGCUUGCUUCAGCAGCACAUAUGCUAAAAUUGGGACGAUACAGAGAAGAUUAGCAUGGCCCCUGUGCAAGGAUGACACGCAAGCUCGUGAAGCAUUUCAUAUUUUU